rnacentral:rRNA from 1 species
UACGUAGGGUGCAAGCGUUAAUCGGAAUUACUGGGCGUGAAGCGUGCGCGGGCGGUUCUGUGAGACAGAGGGGAAAUCCCCCGGCUCAACCUGGGAACGGCCAUUGUGCCUGCAUAGCUGGGGGGCGGCAGAGGGGGAUGGAAUUCCGCGUGUAGCAGUGAAAUGCGUAGAUAUGCGGAGGAACACCGAUGGCGAAGGCAAUCCCCUGGGCCUGCACUGACGCUCAUGCACGAAAGCGUGGGGAGCAAACAGG